UUAGCGGCGGACGGGUGAGUAACACGUGAGCAACCUGCCCUACAGUGGGGAAUAACAGUUGGAAACGACUGCUAAUACCGCAUAACAUCACGGGAUGGCAUCAUUCUGUGAUCAAAGAUUUAUCGCUGUAGGAUGGGCUCGCGCCUGAUUAGUUAGUUGGUGAGGUAAUGGCUCACCAAGACGAUGAUCAGUAGCCGGACUGAGAGGUUGAACGGCCACAUUGGGACUGAGACACGGCCCAG
rnacentral:rRNA from 1 species